rnacentral:rRNA from 1 species
UGAGGAAUAUUGGGCAAUGCCCGCAAGGGUGACCCAGCAACGCCGCGUGGAGGAUGAAUGUCGUAAGAUUGUAAACUCCUGUUAGAGGGGAAGAAUAGUACCGGUUGGACCGGUAUAUGACUGUACCCUCAGAGAAAGCCCCGGCUAACUACGUGCCAGCAGCCGCGGUAAUACGUAGGGUGCGAGCGUUAAUCGGAAUUACUGGGCGUAAAGCGUGCGCAGGCGGUCAUGCAAGACGGAUGUGAAAUCCCCGGGCUCAACCUGGGAACUGCAUUCGUGACUGCAUGACUGGAGUGUGGCAGAGGGGAAUGGAAUUCCGCGUGUAGCAGUGAAAUGCGUAGAUAUGCAGAGGAACACCGAUGGCGAAGGCAGUUCCCUGGGCCUGCACUGACGCUCAUGCACGAAAGCGUGGGGAGCAAACA